rnacentral:rRNA from 1 species
AAGGACCGUCUUAACUGUCCGCUUGGGUGCUUCCCCACGACGUAUUUGGGGAUACCCAUUAGUGACACGAGGCUCACGGUGGCCGAGCUGCGCCCCACGGUGGGCAAGCUCCAGCACCGCAUUGAGCCUUGGCAGGGGCGGUGGCUUUCUAAAGCAGCCCGGACUGUGCUUAUUAACUCGUCCCUAUCCAGCCUGCUCCUAUUCAUUAUGAGCUUUUACAGCCUGCCUGAGACUCUGCACCAUGAGAUUGCUAGAGUUCAGGGGCGCUUCUUCUGGGCUGGCGAGGGCGACAAGCAGAAGUAA